GCCACCGUAGCUCAACCGGCAGAGCACCGCUUUCGUAAAGCGGGGGUUGUGAGUUCGAGUCUCACCGGUGGCU
rnacentral:tRNA from 1 species